AUUGAACGCUGGCGGCAGGCCUUACACAUGCAAGUCGAACGAGUGGCGGACGGGUGAGUAACGCAUGGGGAUCUGCCCGGUAGAGGGGGAUAACUGUCCGAAACGACAGCUAAUACCGCAUAUUAUCGGAGCGACCGAUGUGUGAUUAGCUAGUUGGCGGGGUAAAGGCUCACCAAGGCGACGAUCCGUAGCGGGUCUGAGAGGAUGAUCAGCCACACUGGGACUGAGACACGGCCCAGACUCCUACGGGAGGCAGCAGUGGGGAAUUUUGGACAAUGGGCGCAAGCCUGAUGCAGCCAUGCCGCGUGUCUGAAGAAGGCCUUAGGGUUGUAAAGGACUUUUGGCAGGGAAGCGGUACCUGCAGAAGAAGCACCGGCUAACUACGUGCCAGCAGCCGCGGUAAUAC
rnacentral:rRNA from 1 species